UGCAAAUGAUGUCACUUAUAUUUGCUAUCUGAAUAGCGGUGAUUACACUCUUCCACCAAGAUCGCUGAUGCA